rnacentral:lncRNA from 1 species
AACCCAUCUCCUCAGCAGCACGAUAGUGAAUUUUUUUCUUUUUUUUUCUAUCUACAUCUCUUCUUGUUGGAGAGUAAAGGGAUAUCAGGAGGGCUGCUUGAUACAUAGAGCAUGACUAUGAGAAGAGAGAAAAAUGACACAUGAGGAGGCAGCAGAGUGCUAUAAAAGGAGGUGGAAGAAUGCCUGGAGGAGAAGUGAGGUAUCAGAUAUGCACAGGGCCUGCAAGGGAAAGAGGGUGUUUGUGAAUAACAGAAGUUUCAAGAGUAUUCAGGAAUUAGAAAAACACCACUGUUAUUAUUGAUGAUGAAGAAAACACUCUCAUCUUCCUAGGCAAAAGACCAUACUGUCAUAUCUAUUCUGAAUACAGGAAAGACACCACACUCCCUUCAAAAGAGUUGUGGAAAAGCCCAACAUAACCUUCAGAAAUAGGCUUUCAGGAGGCAUGCAAUAAAUAUAGAAAAAAAUAGACUUUUUCUCCUCCAGCAGAUGAACCUACCACAAGAACAUCUUAAGAGUUGUUUUAAGCUCCAUACAGUGAAGAGGAUAUACUAUCAGACUGCCUCAUAAUCCAUUUGAGGAAUUACUAGUGGACAUUAUGCUGAAGCCCAGAAAAUAAAGGUCAAAGACAAAUUCAGACAAAUUAAAUUGUCUUUCCUUUGC